GCUGGCUGCCAUAGUGAAAAGCUGCCCAUUCUGAUCCUGAACUGCCUGUGUAGUUGGCAAAGGAUGAGAACAUGCCUUCAGGAUCAUCAACAUCUGUGACCUCGUGGUGUGGAACAAGCUCUCUCCCCCUCUAUCUCAGCUUCCAGCUUCAGAGAGACUGCCAUCAUUGGAAACUGCACAUUCCCAGACAUCCAACUCCUUCAUGCCUGAAUGGUCAAACUCCAAAGGGGUUAAAGAUCAUUCCAAUAUCCCUAGCCCAUGGACAGUUUUUCCAGAGUUAAAGUGAGCAUGUGGAGAAAAGAACCUGUUCAACCAUACAUAUCAAUAUGUCAGUUCUGUUCGCAACCCCAUUUGUGAAAGGAUCAAUCCACAACUUCAAUGGCCAAGCUCGUCAGUGAAAUUUAAUGGACCAGAGGCAUCCUAUGUUCCAGCCCAACCAAGCUGAAAAGUGGAAGCAAGAAGAAGAAUCUGAAGAACAUUAAAAUAAUCAAUAUGGAGAAUGACCUGGUUUUCUAAUAUUUCUGUUCUGAGGUAACUCGCUACCAGAAAUACUGUCCACAUAUGAUAGAGUUGGUUCAUGGAUGAAGCAGUUUAAGUUAGGGAUAUCCUGGCAUAUCGGCAAUACUCUAAAGAUGUAAUCCUAUGUUCAAUUACUGGGGAAUAUUUCCUAUUAAACCCAACUAGAUUUUAGUAUAUCUGCAUUGAAUUGGCCAGCUGCUAUACACUUAUACCAGAAGAGAUGUCUCACCCCAAAAAAUCACAUAAAUAUUCACUUAGCUGAGAUAAUGAUAGACCUUGACACUGCAUAGAUAAGAGGCAUUAGUAAGAAAUAAA